GACAAUGGGAAAAAAUACUUAUGAUUGUUGGUAGUGUAGAUUAUCAAAAUAUGUGCUGUUAAUGAUCGUCUCUCUUCAAACUGAUGAAAUAUUCUUUUAUAAAUCUGAUUUCAAAUCGGAUAGUUCCAGCGACGAAGAGUAAUAUCCAAGAUCUCACUGGGAGGUGGGUUUUCUGAUCUUUAAAUGGAAAAAAAAACUGUACCUAGAUGUAACACUCAGUUUAAAAAUGAAGUAUUUUUCUUUUUACAGAAGGUUGCAGUUUCUGGCCCGUUGGUUGUUCAAAAAGUGAGCCAGUUCUUCUUUUGGCUGUACUUUUAAAUCAAAAUGUUGUUUAUAAGACCGCACAGAUUUAAUACUUUUAAUGGAAAUGUCUUUAAGUACAUACAAACUUAGUACUUUAUAUUUUAAUUGUAGAAGAAUUGGAGGCUGACCUGUAUACUUCUUUACACCUAACAAGCAUGCAAUUGGAAGAAUUAAUACCUACCACAGAUUGUCUGUCUUUUUGAGACAAAAAAACUAAAGCAUCCCCAGAACCCUAAAACUCAAUGCUUCCGAAGAGUGGUUAUUCUUCCGAAGGUUCUAGAAUCUUUCAAAGGCCCUUGGACAGUCUAUUAUUGAACAUCUCUUUCAUGCAGCUCGAACCUGCAUCACCAGGAUUACUGACUCAGAUACUCUGGAUUCACCUCAGCUUGUAUCAUCACCCGGGCUUCUCGCCCAAAUAGUCGGCAAAUCCGAAAGAAUUGAUGCUGGGGCUAAGAUGGCUGAGCUGAAGGCUGAAAUCUGUUGGAUUUUCAAAGUGCAUUACCAGACCUUUUACAACUUCCUUCAGAUUUACGUGAAAAGGUUAUUUUAUUGUACGCUAUUUUAGAAGACAUGUUCCCCAAAUGCUGCCAGGCAAUAUGAGUGGUGAUGGUAAAAACAGGAAAAGGGGUGCAAAUGAGGACUUGGACACUGGGAGCGGUUCUCAAUAUGCUGGGUUAUUGCAUGACAUGGUGAAUGAACUUAGUUACUCUAUUCGGGCCCCCAAAAAUGCCUACUCCUCUACCCCGAUAUUUUAUUGAAUUGGAAUAUAUUAAUUGGCAAAAUCAAAACAUGAUACAAAUGAAUAAUAUAAUAGCUACCAUGAGAGUUCCUUCAACUGUUACCACUCCAAUUGACUUUGACCAGCUUGACUGCCUUUUAGAAACUCUGCAUCCAGUAGCCACCCCCGAUGAAAUGCUGAAAUUAAUUUGUUAGAAAGGUUUUAGCAGUCUUUGAAUAAAAAUGUGAAUGCUCAAACAGGUCCUGGUUUAACAAACACCGUGGGUUCUGCAAAUGCUCAGCCUUUUGGUCCACCCACCCAGAACGCUGUUGUCUCUCAGAGUAUGGUUACAUCAGUCUCAGCUACCCCUUUGGUUACAUUCAUUUCAGUUAUAUCUUUUGUACCCUCCUACUUCUGUCUCAGUCAUUGUAUCUUUUAGUCACUGUCUCAUCACCCUCAGUCCCUGUAGCUAACCUCUCUGUUACCUCAGCUGUAUCUAACCCUUUUGUUCCCUCUGCUUCAAUCCUGUAGCUAACACCUCUGCUUCAGUAUGCCCCUCUGCCCCUUCUUCUUCAGUCUUGUCCCCUGUUUCAGUCACUGGUUCCUCAGCCCCUGUUGCACAGCUAUUUGUGGCUACCCUUCAACCUCCUCAGUCUUGCCAGUUAUGUCUGGUGGUUCUGUUGUGUCUAAACCCUCAUCCGCUUCUACUUCAGGUGUAACAGUCAUGGCCGGUCCCUCUGCUGUCUCUAGUGAUGACAAUCUGAGCAUUUUUCAUCAGAUCGACAGACCGGCGUUUAAUCAUACAAAAAUAAGACACCUCUUAAGCUGAUGCCUAUGAUCUAGAGUCUUACGAGGAGGUAUUUAACAGCAUUUAUGAGACACUGCAAAGAAUUCUGGAUAGUUUUUUAAGUACUUUAAAAUCGCAAGAUGCUGUACAGUUAGAAUUGCAUGCUGAUUCCUUACCUAUCAGCGUUUUUAGAUGACUGGAUCUAAAUAUUAAUGUAGACGAUUUUCUUCAACAAAUAGAGAAUCUUCUUCAGAAUCACGCAAAUGUGUUAACAGAUGAGUCUCUGAUGCUAGUCAUACAGAUUGUUCGUUCACCUAGCGGGGGGCGCUAAUGGCGCUCGCAAGGCGUCCGCUCUACUCAAUCAUGAAAUAGAGAGAAAAUUUAAUUAUUCUUAUAAUUACGGGAAUCCGGUCUGUUUUGCCUUUUGUCUGCUUACCUUAAUGGAAGACCGGUACAGACAAAAUCAGCAGUUAUGCAUGCGUAAAGCGUACAACCUUCAGAGCAGGGCUGGAUUAUCUGAGCAUGAAAAAGUGUCCUUUGCGGAUGUUCAUAAAUUUGAAAACUUGCUGGAUAUUACAACUGUUGUCUGGUACAGAUGCCCAAGAAAUGAGAAAUUUUUAAAAUUUGAAAGCUCCCGCAGUAGAAACCCUAAAACGUAUUUUAUGUUUUUGCAUGACAACCAUUACUACGGUAUUUUGAAUUUAAAGGGUUUUCUGGGGGUGAAAUAUCAAGCUACUACUCAAUCCUUAGCCAUUGCUGCGACGGCCACUACAAUGUCUGUUUCCCUCCCGAUUUGCAGGCUGAUCCCUGAAGAGCUUAUCAAGUGUGUUGAUUGCAGCUGUUACUGCCAAUCUCAAUUUUUUUUUUGUUUUAUUCAGCAUACAAUUCCUAAAUUUAAUGCCAAGAACAAUGACAUGGAAAUGGCCUGCGACACUGCAAAAAUGUGUCCCCUGUGUUACAAAACUUACACAGUGAAUGCCACCUCAAUACCCCAUAAAUGUCAUCCCAAGGAAUGCUGUGUUUGUAAAGCAAAAAUUGAAAAUGAUGCAGAAAACCAUCAGUGCUUUCUAGAAACCUUGAAGCCUGUGGAUCGGUGUGAGAAAUUUGUGUUUUAUGAUUUUGAAAGUCGGCAAGAAAAGGGUGUGCACAUUCCGAAUUAUGUAUACUGUAACUCCUUGCGGUUGGAAUCCUGGUUCUGGGCGGAUGAAGAUUGUGUACACUAGUUCUUUGCUAGAUACAUAGUCCCAGGUAUCAAGGCUACCUUAAUAGCUCACAAUUCAAAAGGUUACGAUGGGUACUAUUUAAUGGAGUAUUUGCUUGAAAAUGGAGUGAACCCUCGUGUUACCACUACCUUCCUACUAUCCAAGGAAAUAAGUUGAUGUGUUUCACAGAUAAUGGUUAUCAAUUUAUGUUUUAUAGAUUCUUUGAAUUUUUUAACAAUGAAAUUGAGUGUCAUGCCUAAAGCCAUGGGGUUUGAAGCCGAAAAAGUAUUUCCCCCCAUUUCUUCAAUACGGCUGAAAACCAGGAUUAUAUCGGAUCCUACCCUGAGCCUGAAUGCUAUGGCGUCCAGAGCAUGAUGACAAAAGAAAAAGAUUUUUUUUACCUGGUAUGAGAGUGUCAAAUAUGGCGUUUUUAAUUUUUAAAGAGGAGAUGGCUUUUUAUUAUUAAAAUGACGUUGAAAUUCUUAGAACCGCAUGCAUCAAAUUUAGACAUGAGGUCAUCAAAAUUGGCAAUAUUGACCCGUUUAAAUGCAUGACCCUAGCCUCUCUAUGUAUGGUAAUGUACAGGCAAAACUGUAUGCCUCCAAAAUCUUAUCAGUAUAAUUCCUUCUGACCAUUACAUUAGUAGUCAGAAAAACUACUCGAACGCUUCUAUUGAAUGGUUAUUGUAUCUCUGUGAAAAAGAAAAAUUGAACAUUCGGCACGCUGUAAACCUUGAGGAUGUAAAGAAGGUUCCUUUUUUCUUGGUGGAUAUGCCAGAGUUAAAGGUAUUCCGACCACCUUUGAAUUUUCUGGCUGCUUUUAUCACGGCUGUCCAGAAUGUUAUGAUUUAAACAGUACACAUCCUUUAACCAGCAUGACUUGUGCGGUUAUGUAUAAGUUUAUGCGAAAAUUAGAAAUACUUGGGACAAAAUUUAAUCUAGAUCUGCAAAUGCUCUGGGAGCACGAGUGGGAGACAAUGAAAAAACACAACCUCAGGCUACAAACUUUCUUAAAACACUGCGAUUUCCCUCAAAGUAUAAAUCCGAGGAACUCGUUAUUCGGCGGCCGUACCAAUGCCAUAAAAUUGUACCACAAGGCCGUGGGCACCCAGCAGAUUCACUAUUAUGAUUUCACUAGUUUGUACCCAUUUGAACAAAACAAAAAUGAACCCGAUCGGUCAUCCCACCAUCAUUUUUCAGCAGUUUGGUGAUCUCAGUCAGUAUUUUGGAUUAAUUAAAGCCACCGUCCAGCCUCCACGUGGUCUCAAUUUUUCGGUCAUGCCUCUCAGGUUUUGUGGGAAUUUUAAUGUUCACCCUCUGUCGCACCUGUGCGGAGACAGAAUCUCAGACUGUGGACUGUUGUCACACCGAAGAUGAGAAUGCUUUAACCGGGACUUGGUGUAGUGUGGAAAUAGCAAAGGCCAUUGAUAAAGGUUAUAAAGUUUCAAAAGUACACGAGGUUUGGCAUUACCCUGAACAUACUUCUGAGCUACUCUCAGACCAUAUAAAGCUUCAUCUAAAAGGCAAGCAGGAGGCAUCGGGUUAUCCUACCUGGUGUACGGAUGAGGCGUCCCGAGACCAUUAUAUUUUAGAUUAUCAGAAGGAAGGUGUACAAAUGGACCGCAAUAACAUCGCCGUAAAUCAUGCUAAGAUACAGAUUUCAAAGUUGUUUUUAAAUUCUCUUUGGGGUAAAUUUGGGCAGAAGCCACUCCAUCUCAUUACUAGCUUAGUCAAGGACGAUGAGGAAUUCUUGCAAUAUAUUUUCUCCAAACAGUAUAAUGUUUCUUAUUUUGAAUUUAUCGGUGAUGCGAUUGCUCAAAUACAGCGGAAGUACGCUGAUGAAAGUACACCCUACCAGGUAGCGUUAAUGUUGCUAUUGCUGCUUUCACAACUGCCUACGCCCGGUUACAGUUGUACGCUUUACUGGACCGUCUGGGAGAAAGGGUGUUGUACCAUGAUACCGACUCUGUUAUUUUUACUUCUCAGCCUGGUCAGUACAAUCCUCCUCUGGGGGACUAUUUAGGAGAGCUCAUCAGUGAGUUAAAUCCUGGUGAUUAUAUUACAGAAUUUGCAUCACGGGGGCCAAAGACGUACGGGUAUAAAACAGCACAAGGCAAAACAUGUAUGAAGGUAAAAGGCAUUAUUACCAUUAACCACGAAACUGCUAAAAUUGUAAACCUCGAAACACUAACCAAUCUAGUUCAGAAUUUUGUGACGUCUCAUGAAGCUCCUCGUCAAGAGCUAUUGGUUCACGGUAAUCGGAUCCGCAGAAAUAAAAAAACGCUUCACAGAAAACAGACCACUCAGGAAGAAAUUCAGAGUGGUGUAUAACAAGAUGGUUCUCCUAAAUGAUUACACCACACGACCUUAUGAAUACUAAAAGAUUUUGAUACACGCCUUCAACACCCUUUCGCUAAAACGAUCUCGGGCUUGUUCCAGUAAAUCCUAUUAUGUAAACAAAUUACUGGAACAUUCGAAUCAUGUCGUGUCUCAACCUUUUCAAAAUAUAAUUUGCUUUUAUAGUUGCUGGCAGAAAAUGUACGACGAGCUAUCGGCUACAUUUCUGCAGUUAAAAUUUAUUUGGGGGAUCCCGAAGUCUUUAUGUGACGACGAACGUAUCCAAAUUAUCCAUGUAAUAUAUCUGUGACACUAUAGCCUAACCAAAGUACAAUGUGACAGAGUUCAGCAAGGCGCACCCUGAGCGUUAACUCGAGCGGCAGUAAUUAUUUAAACGUCUGAGAGUUUACAGAGGAAAAGAAAAUAUUUAACAAAGUUUGGGACUUCUUGGAAGUUUUUUUCUUUUUAAUUUUCCGUCUUUCACCCGUGCGUUUCAGCCUCUCGCGUGUUGUUCCAUGUUUCCCAUUCAGUCAGUGGCAGUUGAAGUCGAGGGCGCAGACGCAGAUGGUUGUAAAUCCAGAAAGACAGACACGGUGAAGUCCUGAUUAUUUAAUACAUUUAUACCUUAGCGUUUGUCUCUAUUGUUUUAUUACUAACCUCUUGGUUAUGUGAGAUUACUUUUGGUCAUGUUCAAUAAAAAUCGGUUAUUUUUAUUUGAUGCUUUUUUUUUUCUUUUUUUUUUGGACGUGUGUAAUCCCCCCCUUCCCGGACUGAAAUGGUGUCUUCCAGUUUGAGUGCAAGCGGUUUAGGAGAAUUGAGUCGUCUCUCUAUAAGGAUGGCUGUGGCCACAAGAGGGGGGUCGGUUUGAUCGAUCGCGAGGAUUUUUUAGAGAGACGGAGUUAGUGAGUGCGCUGUGCACCAGACUUAAAGAGGGCUGGGGGUUGAGCAGUUGGUUGAAGCAAAGCCCAUUAUUAGCUGAAUAAAAUAUCAGGGUAACGGCCUUUUUUGUCAUUCAUUUACCAGGAAUUGUUUUGACUCUGAAUUGC